AGCAGUGUGGCUCAGUGGAAAGAGCCCUGGCUUGGGAGUCAGAGGUCAUGGGUUCUAAUCCCGACUCCACCA
rfam:Ornithorhynchus anatinus chromosome 10, whole genome shotgun sequence.